rnacentral:rRNA from 1 species
UCCGUAGGUGAACCUGCGGAAGGAUCAUUACCGAGUUGAUUCGAGCUCCGGCUCGACUCUCCCACCCUUUGUGUACCUACCUCUGUUGCUUUGGCGGGCCGCUCCGGCGCCCGCCAGAGGGCUUCAAAACUCCAGUCAGUGAACGUCUCAGUCUGAAAAACAAGUUAAUAAACUAAAACUUUCAACAACGGAUCUCUUGGUUCUGGCAUCGAUGAAGAACGCAGCGAAAUGCGAUAAGUAAUGUGAAUUGCAGAAUUCAGUGAAUCAUCGAAUCUUUGAACGCACAUUGCGCCCCUUGGUAUUCCGGGGGGCAUGCCCGUUCGAGCGUCAUUUCAACCCUCAAGCUCUGCUUGGUAUUGGGCUCCGUCCUCUGCGGACGCGCCUCAAAGACCUCGGCGGUGGCGUCUUGCCUCAAGCGUAGUAGAAAACACCUCGCUUUGGAGCGCACGGCGCCGCCCGCCGGACGAACCUUUGAAUUAUUUUCUCAAGGUUGACCUCGGAGCAGGUAGGGAUACCCGCUGAACUUAAGCAUAUC